rnacentral:rRNA from 1 species
UCUGGUGACUAUAGCAAGGAGGUCACACCUGUUCCCAUGUCGAACACAGAAGUUAAGCUCCUUAGUGUCGAUGGUAGUCGAACUUACGUUCCGCUAGAGUAGAACGUUGCCAGGC